rnacentral:rRNA from 1 species
AAAUUGAAGAGUUUGAUCAUGGCUCAGAUUGAACGCUGGCGGCAGGCCUAACACAUGCAAGUCGAACGGUAACAGGAAACAGCUUGCUGUUUCGCUGACGAGUGGCGGACGGGUGAGUAAUGUCUGGGAAACUGCCUGAUGGAGGGGGAUAACUACUGGAAACGGUAGCUAAUACCGCAUAAUGUCGCAAGACUAAAGAGGGGGACCUUCGGGCCUCUUGCCAUCGGAUGUGCCCAGAUGGGAUUAGCUAGUAGGUGGGGUAACGGCUCACCUAGGCGACGAUCCCUAGCUGGUCUGAGAGGAUGACCAGCCACACUGGAACUGAGACACGGUCCAGACUCCUACGGGAGGCAGCAGUGGGGAAUAUUGCACAAUGGGCGCAAGCCUGAUGCAGCCAUGCCGCGUGUAUGAAGAAGGCCUUCGGGUUGUAAAGUACUUUCAGCGGGGAGGAAGGGAGU